rnacentral:rRNA from 1 species
GAUGAACGCUGGCGGCGUGCCUAAUACAUGCAAGUAGAACGCUGAAGGAGGAGCUCUGCUUCUCUGGAUGAGUUGCGAACGGGUGAGUAACGCGUAGGUAACCUGCCUGGUAGCGGGGGAUAACUAUUGGAAACGAUAGCUAAUACCGCAUAAGAGCAGUUGUUGCAUGACAGCUGUUUAAAAGGUGCAAUUGCACCACUACCAGAUGGACCUGCGUUGUAUUAGCUAGUUGGUGAGGUAACGGCUCACCAAGGCGACGAUACAUAGCCGACCUGAGAGGGUGAUCGGCCACACUGGGACUGAGACACGGCCCAGACUCCUACGGGAGGCAGCAGUAGGGAAUCUUCGGCAAUGGGGGCAACCCUGACCGAGCAACGCCGCGUGAGUGAAGAAGGUUUUCGGAUCGUAAAGCUCUGUUGUAAGAGAAGAACGAGUGUGAGAGUGGAAAGUUCACGCUGUGACGGUAUCUUACCAGAAAGGGACGGCUAACUACGUGCCAGCAGCCGCGGUAAUA